rnacentral:rRNA from 1 species
AAUGAACGUUGGCGGCGUGGAUUAGGCAUGCAAGUCGUGCGGAAAGGCUCCUUCGGGAGUACUCGAGCGGCGAAAGGGAGAGUAACGCGCGGAUAUCUACCCCCCGGCCUGGGAUAGCGGCGGGAAACUGCCGGUAAUACCAGAUAAUGUCUGCGGACCAAAGGUGUGAUUCCGUCGGGGGCUGAGUUCGCGUCCUAUUAGCUAGUUGGUAGGGUAAUGGCCUACGAAGGCACAAAUGGGUACCGGGUGUGAGAGCAUGGCCCGGCUCACUGGGACUGAGACACUGCCCAGACACCUACGGGUGGCUGCAGUCGAGAAUCUUCGGCAAUGGGCGCAAGCCUGACCGAGCGACGCCGCGUGCGGGAUGAAGGCCUUCGGGUUGUAAACCGCUGUCAGAGGGGAGGAAAUGCGUAGGAGUUCUCUCUUACGUUUGACCUAUCCUCAGAGGAAGUACGGGCUAAGUUCGUGCCAGCCGCCGCAGUAAUAC